UACUGGCAAAGGUGCUCCGUCGAGAGCAA
rnacentral:sRNA from 1 species